GUCUGGAAUGGAAGGAAGGAUAAAGGUUGCAAGGCAACAAAGUAAUGAUAUGGGGAAACUGCUGCUCUGCUGAUUUAUUUCAGUAUUGCAACAGUAUUUGGAGGAUGGGAACAACCUACACCUGUGGGAGAACAUGGCUCUGGCGAACCAUCCCACCGCUCCCUCGCAGGGAAACAGGUGAAUGCCCUGAUGAAACCUUGAUCUUAAUCUAACAGACUGACUGAAGUUAACCAAGCUGUCUUUAAUGGGUUCUGGAUAAAGGCCAAUUGCAAUAAAGUACUGCAUCCAUAGAAGAACAACUGUUGGAAUUUAUCAUGUAGAGGGUGCUAAAUACCUCUUCCACAAGGGAUACUCCCCUAGCCUGAGGAAUUUCCUGUCUAAGUUCACAGACUUUCUGCAAAUAAGUAAAUUGAUAUAUCAGAUCUUCCUGAAAACCUUCUGUGAUCUUUUCAUUUACUAAGUAAAGAUUGGCUUUUUAGAAUUCCAGGGCAGAAAAUACAGAAAAUCCUGUCAAAGAAAUAGAGAGAGUAGGCUAUUGUAGUAGUCUUGAUCUUCUUUUCUGUUUAAUCUAUGCUCUACAUUUACUUUUUCAUUGUUCCCAAUUCCUUUGGUCCUCUCUCUGCAAUUCCUGUUAUUUUGUUCUCAGAAAUAGUAAUUUUUAUUCAGAAGGCAUAAUCUUUGCUGAUGGUACAGACUGCUAGAUAACAGCAACCAUUCUGUUAUUUAUUCCUACACGGUGGCGAUCUUUUGUAAAUGUCUUGCUGGCUGGGGAGGGCAGGAGUUAGCUUCUGUUACCUCAGCAGCCUACAAAUGUUAAAACAUUGUGAAAAAAACUCUUAUUUGUUAAAACACUGGAAGUAGUGAUAAAGCUCUGCAACAAUAUGGAUGAAGAGAUUUAGGAGUCAACCCUAAACUGUGUUUUCAACAGUGAUUCUCAUCAAACAAUGAUUAACAGUGGUUUAAUCACUGAGCCUGUACUUUGCCACUACUACGUAUCUAAAGAAUUAUCUCAUAACUUGGGGGUUUAUAUUAGUGCUAGGAAAAAACCUCAACAGUUCUUGCCAAUCAGUAACAGAUUACUAUAUCUUUGGAAUGAUUUAUAUACAGUUUGGAAAAUACUCUAUUAUUGAUGGCAUAAAUCUUCCAGAAAAUUUAAGAUAUGUGCAAGUUCAUAAAAAUCAUCCAUGUGUGCUGGCAUUUUAUAUUAUAAACUGACAAGAAAAGAACACUUCUUCAUUUGAUGAUACUUAUCUGUGACUAAUGAUACAUGCAAUUUAUGAAU